rnacentral:rRNA from 1 species
AUUGAACGCUGGCGGCAGGCCUAACACAUGCAAGUCGAACGAGUGGCGGACGGGUGAGAAAUGUAUGGGAAUCUGCCUGAUAGAGGGGGAUAACUACUGGAAACGGUGGCUAAUACCGCAUAACAUCAGAUGUACCCAGAUGGGAUUAGCUAGUGGGUGGGGUAAAGGCUCACCAAGGCGACGAUCACUAGCUGGUCUGAGAGGAUGAUCAGCCACACUGGGACUGAGACACGGUCCAGACUCCUACGGGAGGCAGCAGUGGCGAAUAUUGCACAAUGGGCGCAAGCCUGAUGCAGCCAUGCCGCGUGUAUGACGAAGGCCUUCGGGUUGUAAAGUACGUUCAGCGGGGAGGCGUUACCCGCAGAAGAAGCACCGGCUAACUCCGUGCCAGCAGCCGCGGUAAUAC